rnacentral:tRNA from 1 species
GGCCCUGUCGUCUAGUUUGGUUCAGGACGCCAGGUUCUCAUCCUGGUAACUCGGGUUCAAAUCCCGACGGGGCCG